rnacentral:rRNA from 1 species
UGAACGCUAGCGAUAGGCUUAACACAUGCAAGUCGAGGGGCAGCAUAAGGGUAGCAAUACUCUGGUGGCGACCGGCGCACGGGUGAGUAACGCGUAUGCAACCUACCUUCAACUGUGGGAUAACCCGGCGAAAGUCGGCCUAAUACCGCAUAAAACAGGGGCACCGCAUGGUGGUAUUUGUUAAAGAUUAAUUGGUUGUAGAUGGGCAUGCGUAACAUUAGUUAGUUGGUGAGGUAACGGCUCACCAAGACGACGAUGUUUAGGGGUUCUGAGAGGAAGGUCCCCCACACUGGAACUGAGACACGGUCCAGACUCCUACGGGAGGCAGCAGUGAGGAAUAUUGGUCAAUGGUCGAGAGACUGAACCAGCCAAAUCGCGUGAAGGACGAAGGUAUUCUGUAUUGUAAACUUCUUUUAUAAGGGAAUAAAGUGGAGCACGUGUGCUUUUUUGUAUGUACCUUAUGAAUAAGCAUCGGCUAACUCCGUGCCAGCAGCCGCGGUAAUACGGAGGAUGCGAGCGUUAUCCGGAUUUAUUGGGUUUAAAGGGUGCGUAGGCGGGUGAAUAAGUCAGUGGUGAAAGUUUUCAGCUUAACUGUAAAAUUGCCAUUGAAACUGUUUACCUUGAGUGUAGUAGAGGUUGGCGGAAUUCGUAGUGUAGCGGUGAAAUGCAUAGAUAUUACGAAGAACUCCUAUUGCGUAGGCAGCUAACUGGACUAUAACUGACGCUGAAGCACGAAGGUGCGGGUAUCAAACAGGAUUAGAUACCCUGGUAGUCCGCACAGUAAACGAUGAUUACUAACUGUUUGCGAUAUACAGUAAGUGGUACAGCGAAAGCGUUAAGUAAUCCACCUGGGGAGUACGUUCGCAAGAAUGAAACUCAAAGGAAUUGACGGGGGCCCGCACAAGCGGAGGAACAUGUGGUUUAAUUCGAUGAUACGCGAGGAACCUUACCCGGGCUUGAACGGCAGAGGAAUAUGGAUGAAAGUUCAUAGCUAGCAAUAGCCGCUGUCGAGGUGCUGCAUGGUUGUCGUCAGCUCGUGCCGUGAGGUGUCGGCUUAAGUGCCAUAACGAGCGCAACCCUUACCGGUAGUUACCAGCAUGUAAUGAUGGGACUCUACCGGGACUGCCACCGUAAGGUGCGAGGAAGGUGGGGAUGACGUCAAAUCAGCACGGCCCUUACGUCCGGGGCGACACACGUGUUACAAUGGGGGGUACAGCGGGAAGCUACCUGGCGACAGGGCGCAGAUCCUGAAAACCCCUCCCAGUUCGGAUUGGAGUCUGCAACCCGACUCCAUGAAGCUGGAUUCGCUAGUAAUCGCGCAUCAGCCAUGGCGCGGUGAAUACGUUCCCGGGCCUUGUACACACCGCCCGUCAAGCCAUGGGAGCCGGGGGUACCUGAAGUACGUAACCGCUAAGGAUCGUCCUAGGGUAAGACCGGUGACUGGGGCU